UUUUAAAGACACUUUGGGUAUGCAGUGGGAAAAAACUGGCAGAAUAGGAGUGAAAGAUCCCCGAAGAGAGACCCUUAUUCAAGUCUUGGGAAAUCGCGGACCCCAGACACAGAGAGACCA
rnacentral:miRNA from 14 species